UCUUCCUCAUCUUCUUCCUCCUCCCCCUUCCCCUCUUCCUUCUAUAACACAAUCCCAGAAGUUUGAUUUUCAGAUUCCUGCUUAAGUAUGGCAUAGAAUAUAUUCCAAAUGGUGUUUUCCAAUCUUUUAGGCACAAAAAUAAAGCUUUCACUUUGAAGAAAAAUGAACAUUUUCAACUCUGUUGAGAGCAGAAUGACACAUACCUGUCUUUAUACACUCACAAUCAGAAAGCUCUGUAUUUCUGACAGGUAUCCUUGAGUCAUACUUCAUAACACAGCUGGCUACUGGACAUGAACUCCUAGCUGUCAGCACAGGACACAAAGGAUACAAACUCCUGAUGGUUGACGCCCAGAAUACUCAGACACCACUUACCCAAGACCCAGCCAUCUCUAUGAGGCAAGGAGCUCGGCUGAGAGCCCUGCAGAGAAGCAG
rnacentral:lncRNA from 1 species